rnacentral:rRNA from 1 species
GCCUGCGCUAAAACAAUACCCUAAAAAUACCAGAUCCUGUCUGUUCUUGGAAGCUAAGCAGGGUCAGUCCUGGUUAGUACUUGGAUGGGAGACCUCCAAUGAAAAUCUGAGGCAGGAACUGGCU